rnacentral:rRNA from 1 species
UCCCCGUGGCGGGCCAGCGUCGGUUUGGGCGGCCGGUCAAAGGCCCUCGGAAUGUAUCACCUCUCGGGGUGUCUUAUAGCCGAGGGUGCAAUGCGGCCUGCCUGGACCGAGGAACGCGCUUCGGCUCGGACGCUGGCGUAAUGGUCGUAAAUGACCCGUCUUGAAACACGGACCAAGGA